CGGACUGAGUAGAGCGGCGGACGGGUGCGCAACGCGUAGGAAUCUACCUAGUAGUGGGGGACAACUCGGGGAAACUCGAGCUAAUACCGCAUACGCCCUAUGGGGGAAAGUGGGGGACCGCAAGGCCUCACGCUAUUAGAUGAGCCUGCGUAGGAUUAGCUAGUUGGUAGGGUAAAGGCCUACCAAGGCGACGAUCCUUAGCUGGUCUGAGAGGAUGAUCAGCCACACUGGAACUGAGACACGGUCCAGACUCC
rnacentral:rRNA from 1 species